UACGGGGGGGGCAAGCGUUGUUCGGAAUUACUGGGCGUAAAGGGCUCGUAGGCGGCCAACUAAGUCAGACGUGAAAUCCCUCGGCUUAACCGGGGAACUGCGUCUGAUACUGGAUGGCUUGAGUUUGGGAGAGGGAUGCGGAAUUCCUGGUGUAGCGGUGGAAUGCGCAGAUAUCAGGAGGAACACCGAUAGCGAAGGCAGCUCGCUGGGACGGUACUGACGCUGAGGUGCGAAAGCGUGGGGAGCGAACAGG
rnacentral:rRNA from 1 species